rnacentral:rRNA from 1 species
CCUACGGGAGGCUGCAGUGGGGAAUAUUGGACAAUGGGGGCAACCCUGAUCCAGCCAUGCCGCGUGUGUGAAGAAGGCCCUCGGGUUGUAAAGCACUUUCAGUGAGGAAGAACGCCUGGUGGUUAAUACCCAUCAGGAAAGACAUCACUCACAGAAGAAGCACCGGCUAACUCCGUGCCAGCAGCCGCGGUAAUACGGAGGGUGCGAGCGUUAAUCGGAAUUACUGGGCGUAAAGCGCGCGUAGGUGGCUUGAUAAGCCGGUUGUGAAAGCCCCGGGCUCAACCUGGGAACGGCAUCCGGAACUGUCAAGCUAGAGUGCAGGAGAGGAAGGUAGAAUUCCCGGUGUAGCGGUGAAAUGCGUAGAGAUCGGGCGGAAUACCAGUGGCGAAGGCGGCCUUCUGGACUGACACUGACACUGAGGUGCGAAAGCGUGGGUAGCAAACAGGAUUAGAUACCCUGGUAGUC